rnacentral:rRNA from 1 species
AACGAACGCUGGCGGCAUGCCUAACACAUGCAAGUCGAACGAGACCUUCGGGUCUAGUGGCGCACGGGUGCGUAACGCGUGGGAACCUGCCCUUAGGUUCGGAAUAACUCCCCGAAAGGGGUGCUAAUACCGGAUAAUGUCUUCGGACCAAAGAUUUAUCGCCUUUGGAUGGGCCCGCGUUGGAUUAGCUAGUUGGUAGGGUAAAAGCCUACCAAGGCGACGAUCCAUAGCUGGUCUGAGAGGAUGAUCAGCCACACUGGGACUGAGACACGGCCCAGACUCCUACGGGAGGCAGCAGUGGGGAAUAUUGGACAAUGGGCGAAAGUCUGAUCCAGCAAUGCCGCGUGAGUGAUGAAGGCCUUAGGGUUGUAAAGCUCUUUUACCCGGGAUGAUAAUGACAGUACCGGGAGAAUAAGCUCCGGCUAACUCCGU